CCUACGGGAGGCAGCAGUAGGGAAUCUUCCGCAAUGGACGAAAGUCUGACGGAGCAACGCCGCGUGAACGAUGAAGGCCUUCGGGUCGUAAAGUUCUGUUGUCAGGGAAGAACAAGUACCGGAGUAACUGCCGGUACCUUGACGGUACCUGACCAGAAAGCCACGGCUAACUACGUGCCAGCAGCCGCGGUAAUACGUAGGUGGCAAGCGUUGUCCGGAAUUAUUGGGCAUGUAAAGCGCGCGCAGGCGGUUCCUUAAGUCUGAUGUGAAAGCCCCCGGCUCAACCGGGGAGGGUCAUUGGAAACUGGGGAACUUGAGUGCAGAAGAGGAGAGCGGAAUUCCACGUGUAGCGGUGAAAUGCGUAGAGAUGUGGAGGAACACCAGUGGCGAAGGCGGCUCUCUGGUCUGUAACUGACGCUGAGGCGCGAAAGCGUGGGGAGCGAACAGGAUUAGAUACCCUGGUAGUCCACGCCGUAAACGAUGAGUGCUAAGUGUUAGAGGGUUUCCGCCCUUUAGUGCUGCAGCAAACGCAUUAAGCACUCCGCCUGGGGAGUACGGCCGCAAGGCUGAAACUCAAAGGAAUUGACGGGGGCCCGCACAAGCGGUGGAGCAUGUGGUUUAAUUCGAAGCAACGCGAAGAACCUUAC
rnacentral:rRNA from 1 species